CUGAAAGCAUCUAAGCGGGAAGCCUACCUCAAGAUAAGAUUUCCCUAGGACUUUAUGUCCUCUAAAGAGCCGUUCGAGACUAGGACGUUGAUAGGUUGGAUGUGGAAGCAUAGUGAUAUGUGAAGCUGACCAAUACUAAUUGCUCGUGAGGCUUGACUAU
rnacentral:rRNA from 1 species